CAAAAACAUCGCCUCCUGCAAAAAUCAAUGUAUAGGAGGUCCUACCUGCCCAGUGACUAUUAGUUUAACGGCCGCGGUAUUUUGACCGUGCUAAGGUAGCGCAAUCACUUGUCUUUUAAAUGAAGACCUGUAUGAAUGGUGUAACGAGGGCUUAACUGUCUCUCUUCUCUAGUCAAUGAAAUUGAUCUACCCGUGCAGAAGCGGGUAUAAUAAUACAAGACGAGAAGACCCUUUGGAGCUUUAGACAUAAGGCCAACCGUAUUAAGGGUUAAUUAUAAAAUCUUACCAAACAAAACAGCACACUGGCCAGCGUCUUCGGUUGGGGCGACCGCGGGGGAAAACAAAGCCCCCAUGUGGACUGGGAAUACCCCUAAAACCAAGAGAUACAUCUCUAAGUCACAGAACAUCUGACCUAAAGAUCCGGCCUGCGGGCCGAUCAACGAACCAAGUUACCCUAGGGAUAACAGCGCAAUCCUUUUCAAGAGUUCAUAUCGACAAAAGGGUUUACGACCUCGAUGUUGGAUCAGGACAUCCUAAUGGUGCAGCCGCUAUUAAGGGUUCGUUUGUUCAACGAUUAAAGUCCUACGUGAUCUGAG
rnacentral:rRNA from 1 species